rnacentral:rRNA from 1 species
GACGAACGCUGGCGGCGUGCUUAACACAUGCAAGUCGAACGGAAAGGCCCUGCUUUUGUGGGGUGCUCGAGUGGCGAACGGGUGAGUAACACGUGAGUAACCUGCCCUUGACUGUGGGAUAACUUCAGGAAACGGGGGCUAAUACCGUAUAGGAGCUCCUGUUGCACGGUGGGGGUUGGAAGGUUUGGGCGGUUGGGGAUGGACUCGGGGCUUAUCAGCUUGUUGGUGGGGUAGUGGCUUACCAAGGCUUUGACGGGUAGCCGGCCUGAGAGGGGGACCGGCCACAUUGGGACUGAGAUACGGCCCAGAAUCCUACGGGAGGAAGCAGUGGGGAAUAUUGCACAAUGGGCGGAAGCCUGAUGCAGCAAGGCCGCGUGCGGGAUGACGGCCUUCGGGUUGUAAACCGCUUUCGCCUGUGACGAAGCGUGAGUGACGGUAAUGGGUAAAGAAGCACCGGCUAACUACGUGCCAGCAGCCGCCGUAAUAC